rnacentral:tRNA from 1 species
UAGCUCAGUUUGGAUAGAGCGACUGCCUUCUAAGCAGUAGGUCGAGGGUUCAAAUCCCUU